UCAAAACAAAACAAUAAACAAAACCACAUGUGCGGGAGGAAAAGCAGAAGCGUGCAAUACAUCACAAUAUAAUGUAUUUGUUAACUUGGUUGACGUAAAACCUUGGUGCUACUGGAAUUCUCUUUUUCUUUUCAUUAUUGCAGUGUUGUUUUCAAGGAUAACAAUAUGGAUGAAAUCUAGGACAGGAGGAACAAUAAAACAGAUGAAGUUUAAUAACAAGUCGUCAGAAUAAUCUGGAUGAAUUUUGAAGGAAGACCGGUCAACGAUAAAGGUGGACAUUUGCCCAACAAAAGUGUAAUAAUUCAGACAUUUACAAGACACACUUGGAUUUUCAGUUACUAUAUUGCUGGAGACAAGAUUACAGUUAAGGAUGAAGACCACUUGAAAGAAGCUUUAACAUGCAGAGGCAAUGAUCAAGUGGAAGUCCAUUCUAGUAGACACAUAAAAGAUGCAUGCAAGUCAUAGGACUGAACCAAAGAUACAUUGAUCAACUACCGAAAUCAUUACAAGAUGAAGUAUUAAACAUCACAAAUCAAAUUUUUUAUUACAACAUUUUAUAAAUUUUGCCCAGGCUUAGUGUUCUUAUUUUCUUGUCAAUUUCAGUCUCAAAAUAUUCUUAUUUUGUCCUUAGUUUUUAUGCAAUUUCAGCCUCAGUGUUCUUAUAAAAUGUUUUCUUAUAAAAUAAGUACAUGUGAAAACUUUUAAUAUUGUCUCUGAAAAUGUGGGUAGUAAUGUCCUAAAUGUCUGAAUUA